rnacentral:rRNA from 1 species
UACAGAGGGGGCAAGCGUUGUUCGGAAUUACUGGGCGUAAAGGGCGCGUAGGCGGCCUGUUAAGUCGGACGUGAAAUCCCCGGGCUCAACCCGGGAACUGCGUCCGAUACUGGCAGGCUUGAAUCCGGGAGAGGGAUGUGGAAUUCCAGGUGUAGCGGUGAAAUGCGUAGAUAUCAGUCGGAACACCGGUGGCGAAGGCGGCUUCUUGGGCCCUACCUGACGCUGAGGCGCGAAAGCCAGGGGAGCGAACGGG